GAAUGCCAAGGUGUGUCACUGGUGCUAGUCCCACAACUAGGAAAAAGAAAGUCAGAUUGCAAAACCAGCAUUGCCUGCCUUUACCUGGUAGCCCCUGCUGCCUUCCAGGCCCGCAGUUUCUCUGGGUCUCCUCCUUGGUGAGAUUUCUGGACACCUGCAGGCACUAAUAGUUUCCAGUUUGAGUGCUCACAUAAACUCCUUACAGGUAUCUGUUAACACAGUCUCAUGGUAUUAUCAUUAUGUGUAUGUACGUUUCGUAAUAGAGCUAUUUAUUUCUAUAUUCCUAGUGACCCUUCCAAGAGCUCCUUCUGGUUUGGAAAAGGUGGGAUAGACCAUCUGGCCUUCCCUAGUGAGGACCUGGAUUGCUGGUGGUGGUGGUAUGGGGUUGGCAGGCAAAGCCAUCUUGAAGGAGGCAGCUUCAGCAUCAGCCUCCAUUGUGUGAUUCCAGGCAAAUAGCUCAGUCCCAUUAACAAGGGGCAAAUCCUCUUCCUGAGUCGGGGAGAAAGGUUUAAACAUACAACGAGAGAGAACUGUUGCUUUAAGUAGCCUUGACAAGGGGCAUUAGAUCCUCUCUAAGGUUCUGUCCAGCUCAAUGAUUCUAGAAUCUUCAUUAUCUUGAGCUGAAGAUGGUUGGAAGCUGGGCUGAAAAACCUCAGCAGAGAGGAGAAAAGAGGGGAAAAUGAGAUGGUUUAUAAAAUAAGCAUGGGAGCAACUUUGGGAUGCGGGCAAAGCAAUUGAAGAAAUGGAAAAAUAAAGACGUUUAGUAGCGUGCCCAAGCCAGUCAGAGAAAUCUGUUCUAUGCUGCCUGGGCUUCUAUGUGCCUAGAAAAAGAAGAAAGUGAGACCCAUCUGAGACACCAGAGAGGUACUCUCCUAGUAUCCAGGGUGAGAAGUACAUUAGCCUGAGUCCCUGGUUUGUCAAACAUUGGACACUUCGUUGACAACUGACUUUGUCACCUGGAACUUCAUGAAGUCGAUUUCCCUGAGUGUCUAAGUUUCCUUCUUUUACAUCAACAAUCUAGCCUUCAUUUUCUUUUGCAUGUGCCAAAGUACAUACAGUAGGUGGGAAAGAGCCAGAGAUGUGUAUAACGUACUCCAUUUUUUCAAGUGUUUAUGGUUGUAAAUAAAAUUACUUUUAAGUCUCCA
rnacentral:lncRNA from 1 species